UACGCUAUAGAGAGUGUCCAUUAAGAGAGACUGAAUAUUAUUAUACCUUUGGGCCUAAAGUACUACAAUGGUUUUGUUAAUCCUCUUUAUUCAGUAGCUUCUGGUGCUUUUAAGUAUUAUUAUUUGAUAAUAAAUGAAUGACAAACAAUUAUUAAUAACUAAUAAUCAUAUUGACAAUAUGAUGCACCAAAUUGAAAUUAAUUGACCAUAACAUACAGUCCUAAUAGGAAUGAGUGUUUAUAAAUAUACUACAGGUUAUAAAUUAAUUUAACGUGGCAAUGUUGAUAGCUACCAUAUUAAUAUAAUGUUAAUGUGUAUUGUAAUAAUCAACUUAAUGUCAAGUUUUACUUGCAUUUUCAAAAGCAGUCAGAAUGUACAUUAAUCGUAUAGUUCAUAUACUUAUGGCUGCCUUGUUGACAGUUAAUUUUAAAAAGCUUAAUCAAAAUGCGUGGGCUGUCUUGCUAUUUUUAGAUGUGGGCAGAUUUUCAUAUUAUAAUAACUUUUAUUAGUGAUGUAAUCUGUAUGAUGUAAAGCUGAUACUGUUGUGAUAAUAAUAAUAAUAUUAAUGUGGGCUGGCCUGGCAGUAGAUUUUACCAUGUAUGUACAAUGUACAUGUGUAUGUACAUUAAGAUUGUAUUAAUGUGAUAUUUGUGUGUGUUUAAUUGGGUUUCCAAGUUCAGUUAGUUCACUGAUAAUUAAAGCUUUGUUAUGGCUUUCACUCUCUUGUCUUCUUUAAUGUACUCUCUAUACUAUAUAUGGACUUACACCUCCUAACUUCCUCUCUCUGUCUCUCUCUGUCUCUGUCUCUCUGUCUCUGUCUCUCUCCCUCUCUGUCUCUCUCUGUGUCUCUCUCUCCCUCCCUCUCUCUCUCCCUCUCUCUCCCCUAGUUGGCAAUAAGAAUGAUAGCCCAGAUAAGAAGGUUGUGUCCACAGAAGACGCUCAGAAAUUUUCAGAACAGAUUGGUAUAGAUUUGUACGAAACGAGUGCCAAAGAGAACAUCAAUGUAGAAGAGGUAUUUUAUGCUAUAACUCGACUGGUUUUAAAAACAAAAAAGGAAACAGCCAAAGAUGGAGGAGGCACCAAGGACACCAUAAAGGUGAACAAAUCGAGUGGUGCCAAAGGAGGGAAGAAGAAGUGUUGCUAAAGUUGUAUCUUUCUUGUCCUUUUUUUCCUGUCUUCAUCUCUGUCUUACUCUCAUUGACUAUACUUUAUGUGUUGCAUUUUUUAUGAUAUAAUUACCGAUUGAGCCACUUUUCUAGCUGCUAUUUGGAUACUAUACUAAUUUACUAUUAUCAUUAUUAUUAUUAUUAUCAUUAUUAUUAUUAUCAUUAUUUAAUGUUAUAGUUGUAUUAAUUUUUUUAUGUAUAAUUGUUUACAUGUACAUAAUAAAAUAAAUAUUAAUUUUUGUUGUUAUUAUUAUUAUUAUGUUUCAUGUCUGUGUAUAGGCACCUAGUUUGGUAGGGGAUAUUGAACAGCAUAUUGUGGACAUCUUUUUUUAUUUAUUCUAUUAUUCUAUUCUUUUUUAUAAUACCUCUCCAGCUGUCUUCCUA